UACGAAGGGGGCUAGCGUUGUUCGGAAUUACUGGGCGUAAAGGGCGCGUAGGCGGCUCGAACAGUUGGGCGUGAAAGGCCUGGGCUCAACCCGGGAACUGCGUUCAAUACUGCCGGGCUAGAGUGUGGGAGAGGAUAGCGGAAUUCCCAGUGUAGAGGUGAAAUUCGUAGAUAUUGGGAAGAACACCAGUGGCGAAGGCGGCUAUCUGGACCACAACUGACGCUUAGGCGCGAAAGCGUGGGGAGCAAACAGG
rnacentral:rRNA from 1 species